AGUGGCCCUUAAUUUAUAUUCUUAUACCAUUUAAAAAAGUUGCAAAGGAAACAAUAGUAGGCUAUAAUUUAUAUAAUCUUGAGCAUUAUUAUUAAUAACGUGUGAAAAAGCAGACGCAGUUUUAUAGUUCGUAUAAUAUAACAGCGAGGUUAAAGCUGUGAAAACAAAUGCUGAAUCCGGACGCUUGAAUCCACGCAGACCUCUUGCAUUUCUGUUGCGUAGCUGGAGGGAUUUACGGGGACUUAAUUCCUUAAAACUGUCCUCUCGUCCACAUGACGCUCAAACUGCAAGUGCUCAAGCUGAUAUACCCAAAUGUAUCAAGAGAUGAGUGCAUCGCAUUGCCAUGGGGCUAGAUUAGGGCCUUUUAUAAGACAUGUAGAAUACACGUGAAACCAGUGCGGAGUAGCGCAACGAGGAGGUGAAUUAGGUAGCUUUAAAAACGUUAAAAACAACAUGUUGCCAAUAUCCACUUCAAAACAUGUCUAUCGGGAUUCUUCUGUGUGGGAGGAAAGUCGACUGUAUCAUAACAGCUUUAAGUCUAUACAUUUUAAAGAUAUCCUAAGAAGAGGAGAACCUGACAAGCGCUCGGUGACUCGACAUGCACGGACAAAUGAACAACGAUGCAAAAAAAAAAAAAAAAAAAAAAAACUUUUACACUUCAAGACAGGAUGGAAAGCUUCAGUUGUGCACCUGCUAUUGUGGAAUGCCCUGGAGACGAUGACAGCCAGCAUUAUCCUGGUCCAAAUGUUUUGCAAGCACUGCAUGGUGGGCAUCAUCUGAUGUUAUCUUAUGUGAAUGUUUGGAGGAGCACAGUAGGAAAGGAUCAGUUUCUUCACAGUUUUAUUAAGAUUAGUUAACAUCUUUAGUGGCUUUUCAAUUAUGACACCAUGUUGCAAUUACUCUGAAAUUGUUGGACUGAUAAAAAAAGGACUUUGUUGAUUCAUUUAAAUUAAUGUUUGACUUUGUAUCUUUUGGUGUUACGUAUAUUGUGAUGUUUUUUUCUUUGUAAGGUUCUGAGUUUUGAGAUUAGAUUAAAACCCUAGACAUGGCUGAAUGGUCAUAAUUUAGCAUGAUACAUUACAAAUGAACUUGCCUUAAUAUUCUCACAAAUGUUUCUCUGAUUUGACAUAAUUGUGACAGUGUUUAAAUGCGAUAACAGUCAUUUUUGAUGAGAGGAACACUUGAACGUGAAGGUAUAUUUGCACAAAGUAAUUACAAUGAAUAAAAGAGCUCGUUUGAUCUUUAUUGACAUUCAUAAUUUCCCGUGUGCCACAUCUUGCCGUAAGGUACAGCAAACUUAAAUGGGGUUAAAUGUUACGCGUCACGGUCCGAGAAAAUAAGGAUGUCAGAUUGGAAGGGUGGGAAGAAACGGAGGAUGAUUGCACAGUACAUUUCAAGAGAUCACUAAGGUUACAGCGAUCUACAUAUAGAAACAGACGGGGGAUAAAAAGAGAGAGAGAGAGAACAUUAAAAUUCCUUAGUACAGUUACUCACACUACAACAAUAUUGUUCAGCACCACAUUUUUUAGGAAGUCUAUGUAUAAUUGUAUUUAUACUUAUUAAAAAAAAACAUUUACAUACUAAUUUAUUAUCAAUAAAAUAGACAUUUUAAGUUUUAAAACAUUAGUUUGUUGAACAUAAACACACUUUAAAACCUCCAACUAGAGCAGAAAAAGGCACCAAACCAAGACAGAAUUCUGUGCAUAUGCAUGAUGCAUUAAGUACCUUCUGAAAAUAUUUAACGGUUAUUAAUCACUACUGUAAUUGUUUGUCUGCUGUUUACACAGGGGCCAAGCAGCAAACAAAUGGAUUCAAUUAAAACUGAUUCAAGUCAUCAAUAUAAGGCAAAGUAAGCCCUCCACCAUACUGACAAGGACAAACAAGUGCACACAAGGGGACACUAAACGUUCUUUCAGUCAUGCAUAAACAUGCUUUUCUCUCUACGCUCUUGCUCUCUCACUUUCACACACACACACACACACACACACACACACACACACACACACACACACACACACACACACACACACACACAUUACAAAGGCCCUCAAGGUGAACUUGGUGAAAGAUCUACGAACUCAGAUCUUCAAAGAACUUGCAAUGCAAUUGUGUCAAAUUCACUUUUCCAAACGAAUAAUGAUAACACUCUAUAUCUUUAUUACAUGGAUCUAGUUGAGAAAAGCAAAAAUGGCAUGAGGUGUACGGUGGAACCUGCCCUGCAGUGUGGGCUUCACUUCUCUCGCCUCUCUCAGAGUUCAAAGGCACAGGAACAGAGAGGGUCGGAUUUAUUCAGGCUUUAUGUGGUAAAUGCUUGGAUGUCUUUCUUGUAGUCUGCAAGGCCCUAAGAUCACAUUUAGGAAAUGUUCUUUUGUGAGGUUGGCUGUGAAAUCCCCAUAAUAAAUUCACCAAACAGGCACAAGCAAUGGCUAUUUAUGAUCGUGGCCAUUUAUUCCUUUCUAUCUUGCCUUCCAGGUAAAGGUGUGUCUGUUUAUGCAUCACUUUUAGACUCAAACACCAGUAAAAUGGACUUGAAAGGAUCAAUGAUCAUAAGAUAUACAUUAAAUAUAAUCUUUUAUUGAAUCGUUCAAUACAAACGUUGGCUUAUUAUGGGUUUGUGACACAGAAGUAAAGUCUAAAAAUAAAGGCACAGUUAACGCUCAAAAAGGAAAAUUGUCAUCAUUUACUCACCCUCAUGAUAUUACUUAUGUUCUUCUAUGGAAGAUAUUUUGGAAAAUAUUUCUAACGUUGUUUCCGACCCCCCUGAUUUUCUCUGUAUGUGCACAAACAGUGGAAACAUUUUUCAAAACAUCUGCAAGAGAAAGAAAAUCAUUCAGUUUGGAAUGACGCAAGGGUGAGUAGAAGACAGUAUUUUCACUCCCUUUAAGAAGUGAUAUAACAAUUAUUAGUGUUAUUUUGUCCCCAAGCCAAAUUGUGAGCACCCAUCCUCAAAUACACACGUUAACAUUAUUGAAUCUUUAAUUAUGUGGUAUAAUUAACCCUGCACCCAGUUUGAAAGGCAUGUGAGUCGAGGACGAGCCCCCAUAUGGGGUGAGCAUUCCUUGCUUGUGCCCCGUCCAAACCCCACUUUGUUUUGAGUGACAUUCUGGCACUCUUGUUCAUACACCAAUACUCAGACUCCAAAUUGUACCGUCUUGCUGUCUUAUGCACUGCCAGUUCACACGCAUCUCUGUCCCCCUUUCUAUUUUUAAUGCUCUUGCACAAAAGCUUUUCUUUACGUUUUAUGCAAAUAUAUUUUUUAAUCUUCCUUUGGAAAUCUUGCACUUUUCUUUCUUUUUCUUUUCUAGUGCCUGUGCCUCUUAACUGUUUAUAUCUCUUUUGGAAAAGUGCAGGCUGUCUGUUGGGACUCUCAUAAUUCUGUCAGUUGGAUGUUUCCAUUACGUUCUCAUCACGUUCCUGCCAUGUUCUUGUCCCGGCUCCAGCCUGUAGUCAGCUACCCUUCCAGCCACAGGCUGGCAGCUGUUUUUUUUUUUUUUUGCAAUUGUGUAUCUCUAAGGGCUUGUCUGUCAACUGGAACCCUCCCCUCCAAUUAGGAGUGUAAACACAAGACCCGUCUCUGUGUGUGUGUGUGUGCGCUUGUGUAUGUGCUUAUAAGAAGUUCACAAACUGUCCCCUAAAACUCUCCUUCCAAAACAAUGCUUAGGUUCUCCAAACUGCACAUGAUGCAGGAUCAAUAUCUGCAGUUACAUAUUUCACCCUUCUUUUAAAAUGUUUAAUUAUAUAGACUGCAUCUUAACUGGUUUAUUUUGACUUAAAUAUAUAGUAAAAUACUGAAAGGAACACAUUAUGACUUCAGCUGUAUAUUUGAAAAGAAAGGUAUUUAUAUUGAAUUUUAUUUGACUGCACUGAUAAUACUGUAGAGUCAUUUAUAUUGUAGACAUUUAUACUGACAGAUUUUUCUGUGGAAGUACUUGAUGUGUUGUUGUAUAUUAAAACACUGAACUGGAUGUAUUUCACUUAAAAAGUGUUUAUUUUCGACAUUAACAUGACAGGUCACCAUUCGCCACUCUCCUGGUUACCAUAGGGAACCAAUACUGCUGAAAAGAAUGUAGAGUCUGCCAGAGUUGCAGACUGGGACAGGACAGGCUAUGUGUGUGUGUGUGUGUGUGUGUGUGUGCUGGGGGUGGGAACACUCUCAGAUACCCCAGUGGUUACCGCCUUGCGGCUGGCAAUAGGGAUGCAGGAAUUUCACUAGACCUACUGCCCGGAAAAUGCCAGGUGGGAGACGAGGAGUGGACAGAGGGUGUGGAGGAGUCACAUUAAUUGCUGGCAGGGGAGGUGGAGGAUAGGUAGCGCAGGAACUGACAGAAGCUCAAUAGAAAAAUAGAG